UUCUCUGGUUGAUCCUGCCGGAGGUCACUGCUAUCCGAAUUCGACUAAGCCAUGCUAGUCCUGGGUUAAACCAGGGCAUACGGCUCAGUAGCACGUAGUUAACCUGCCCUUGGGUUUGGGGUAAUCUCGCGAAAGUGAGGGCUGAUCCCCUGUUAGGUGAUUAUUCCUGGAAUGGUUUUUCACUGAACCAAGGAUGGGACUGCGGCCUAUUAGAUUGUUGUCAGAGUAACGACCUGACAAGUCUAUAAUGGGUACGGGCCUUGAGAGAGGAAGCCCGGAGAUGGGAUCUGAGACAAGAUUCCAGGCCCUACGGGGCGCAGCAGGCGCGAAAAUUUCGCAAUUCACGCAAGUGUGACGAAGGGAUUCGGAGUGCUUUCUCUUCGGAGGAAGCUUUUGCCGAGUCCAAAACGCUCGGAGAAUAAGUGGUGGGUAAGACGGGUGCCAGCCGCCGCGGUAAUACCCGCGCCACGAGUGGUGAUCACUCUUAUUGGGUUUAGAGCGUUCGUAGCCGGUUUGGCAAGUUCCUAAUGAAAUCCUGCAGUAAACUGUAGGGGCUUGUUAGGGGUACUACCAGGCUUGAGACCGGGAGAGGUUGAGGGUAUUAUCGGAGUAGGGGUAAAAUCCUGUAAUUCCGAUAGGACCACCUGUGGCGAAGGCGCUCAACUAGAACGGAUCUGACGGUGAGGGACGAAAGCUAGGGGAGCAAAGGGGAUUAGAUACCCCCGUAGUCCUAGCUGUAAACGAUGCCCGCUAGACAUUGGAUAUCUUACGUGGAUAUCCAGAGUCGCAGGAAAACCGUUAAGCGGGCCACCUGGGGAGUACGGUCGCAAGGCUGAAACUUAAAGGAAUUGGCGGG
rnacentral:rRNA from 1 species